CGGGCCUGUUUAGUUGGGCUCAUUUUUCUUAUCACUCAUCGUACGUGAAAACUUUUAGUAAUAUUUUCGUUUUUAUUUUACAAUUAUUAUUCAAUCAUCAAUUAACUAGGCUCAAAAUAUUCGCAAAUUUCAAAUAACUAUACAAUUAGUUAUUUUUUUAUCUACAUUUAAUGCUUCAUGUAUGAGCCGCAAGAUUUGAUGUAAUGGGG
rnacentral:lncRNA from 1 species